rnacentral:rRNA from 1 species
GGGGAAUAUUGGGCAAUGGGCGAAAGCCUGACCCAGCCACGCCGCGUGAGUGAUGAAGGCCUUCGGGUCGUAAAGCUCUGUGGGGAGGGAAGAAACCUUCCAGGGAACAAUACCCCUGGGACUUGACGGUACCUCCUUAGCAAGCACCGGCUAACUCCGUGCCAGCAGCCGCGGUAAUACAGAGGGUGCAAACGUUGUUCGGAAUUACUGGGCGUAAAGCGUGUGUAGGCGGCUACGUAAGUCGGAUGUGAAAGCCCCAGGCUCAACCUGGGAAGUGCACUCGAUACUGCGUAGCUUGAGUAUCGGAGAGGUUGGUGGAAUUCUCGGUGUAGAGGUGAAAUUCGUAGAUAUCGAGAGGAACACCGGUGGCGAAGGCGGCCAACUGGACGAAUACUGACGCUGAGACACGAAAGCGUGGGGAGCAAAC